UCCUGCCGCCCCCCGGCAGCCUCCGCUUCGGCGAGAGGACGAUGUGGCCGGAGGAGGUCAUUUUUCCAGACUCCAGAUUUGCGAUCAGUGAGGACAUCUCAUCAACUCCAAUGUAACAAGAACAAAUACCCCAACCUCAAAUCUUCUCCACACAAAGCAAGUCUGAGAGCAAGUAUCAAAGAAGAGGAGUAAAUAAAAAUCAAUUAAAAUGAGAGAUCCUGUUUUAUAGCUGACUUUAUGAUGUUAACAAAACCAAGUCUGCCCCUCAGUAAAAGAUCUGCUUUGAUUUCACUCUUUUGGGAAUACUCAGGGGAAGGAAAAACUCACUGAACAAAUUCAUAAGAUAUAAACUACACUUAUUGCAGUGCUCAUUUCUGUUUUAAGCCUGAGGAUGAGCCCUGCCACCACAACARUCCCAGAAAAUUGAUUUCAUUUUCUUCAAUUACCUGUUCAAGAAAACAAAGAACCAAACCAGCAGUCAGCUAAGCAGCUCUUUUUCCCCUCUAGACAGAGAGGGCAACACCACACGAGCCUCUGGCUUAUUCACCGCUUGGAUAUAGAUGACCUGCCCUGCAAACACAGGUCUGUGACACAUCCUGCUGUUUAUGUCCUGCACGGCUUCAUGAACAAACCACGCUGCUGAGACCCAUUCGUGCCUGGAGCAGCCAGGGAAAGAAACAUCUUAUGAAUGACACCGGUGACAAGGGAAUUGUAGCUCUUGCUUCUUCCAAAAUCUUGACUGUGUGAGAACAACAAGUACAUCCCAAUGAGGCCCAAAUUCAAAGUUGUUCCUGUACCUGCGCUUUUGGCCUCGACGGAAUAUGAAAACUUUACUAAGCUAAACACAACGAGAGACGCUGAAACUAAGCAGCUAGAGGGGUCCCUCUCAUCUACUAUUGCACUGAUAGUAGUGCUGAUUAUUUUUUUCUCUUUGAUAAUGACAUCCCUAGUAACCUACUGCUUUCACAAGUGGAAACUCAGAGGUAAAAAACUGCAGAGAGC